UACGUAGGGUGCAAGCGUUAAUCGGAAUACUGGGCGUAAAGCGUGCGCAGGCGGUGAUGUAAGACAGAUGUGAAAUCCCCGGGCUCAACCUGGGAACUGCAUUUGUGACUGCAUCGCUGGAGUACGGCAGAGGGGGAUGGAAUUCCGCGUGUAGCAGUGAAAUGCGUAGAUAUGCGGAGGAACACCGAUGGCGAAGGCAAUCCCCUGGGCCUGCACUGACGCUCAUGCACGAAAGCGUGGGGAGCAAACAGG
rnacentral:rRNA from 1 species